GUGAUCAAGGUGUCAGCCAGGGUCACAAUCAUCUCAAGAUUCAACUGCACCAACAUUCAUUCCAAGUUCACUCAGAGUGUCAGCAGGAUUUACAGCCCCUCGGGCUAUUAGAUUGAAGGCCUCAGUUCCUUGGUAGCUGUUGGCUGGAUGCCACCCUCAGUUCCUUGCCCAGCGGCCCUAUCAAGUGAAAGCUGAGGAGAGAACACCGGCAAAAUGACGAGUCUUCUGUAACCUAAUCACAGAAGUGACAGCCCAUCACUUGGGCCACAGUCUUUUCAAUAGAAGCAAGUUGCUGGGUCCAGCCCACACUCAAGUAUCCCAAUGCCCCUCAAUGAAAACCGAAGGGAACUGCGCUGGUGUGGCUUCAGGGAAGUUACACUGCUCUUAAAAGAGACAUGCUGGGGAACAGAGGCCCUCUGCUUCAACUGGUUGUUGUCAUUCUGACAACUGAGCAGUCAAGUAAAGACCUUGAAGGAAGCAACACUGAGGACAAAGUGAACAUAAUAAGGCUG
rnacentral:lncRNA from 1 species